rnacentral:tRNA from 1 species
GGGCCUGUAGCGCAGUUGGGAGCGCAUCACAUUCGCAUUGUGGGGGUCGUCGGUUCGAAUCCGAUCAGGUCCA